rnacentral:lncRNA from 1 species
CUCUGGGAUGUGCUUUAUUAUCACAUCGCACCAUAGAUGAUAACUACACCAAACUUCCCACAGAACAAGGAUACCUAUUGGAAAAGUUUCAUAGAGUCAAUCAUAGAUUUAAUGUAAAUGUCACGGUUGUCGUAUGGAUUGGACCAAAACGCAGCGGGAAUAUGUAUACUCAUCUUCUUUUUAUUUUGAAGAAGGAGAAACAACUAAAUACGUAUACAAAAAAAGAACAAACCGAAACAGUCCUGUCAUGUGCAACAAACACUAAACAAGGAACAACUACCUACAAAUCCCAUAGAAAAACACCCCUCUUAAAUAGGACCUUCAAGUAGAAGCAACGAGGAGCAGCUGCUUCCAAUUGAAGGUCCACCCAAUAAACAUCACAUAGAAAUAGACAUACUAGAACUAACAUAGAAAUAGACUAACAAAGAACAUAGCCCAACAAACCCCGAAACACUCUAAACAAACACCCCUCUUAAAUAUGAACAUAGGCCAACAAACCCCGAAACACUCUAAACAAACACCCCCUGCCACGUCCUGACCAAACUACAGUAACAAAUAACCCCUUAUACUGGUCAGGAAGUGACCGUAAAAUCAGUCACAACAACCUAUUUUCAAGUUGGCCGCCAUUCAUUUGAAUGUGGAGGAACUGAAUAGAUUUUUCGGGGCAUAAAUUAAUAACCUCUUAAGGAUUGGACCCUUUUUUUCAAAUUUUUGUCUAAAAUGACAUACCCAAAUCUAACUGCCUGUAGCUCAGGACCUGAAGCAAGGAUAUGCAUAUUCUUGAUAUCAUUUGAAAGGAAACACUUUGAAGGUUGUGGAAAUGUGAAAUUAAUGUAGGAGAAUAUAACACAUUAGAUCUGGAAAAGAUAAUACAAAGAAAAAACAUUCAUUUUUUAAAUUGUUGUUCCAUCUUUGAAAUGCAAGAGAAAGGCCAUUAUAUCACUUAGGAGUCAAGGCACAAUAUAGAUUUUGGCCACUAGAUUGCAGCAGUGUAUGUGCAAAGUUUUAGAUUGAUUCAAUGAGCCAUUGCAUUUCUGUUCAAAAUGUUGUGUCAAGACUGCCCAAAUGUGCCUAAUUGGUUUAUUAACACAUUGGUAGAAAUAUGACAAAACGCUGAAAAUGAGGUCAGGUUAAAGAUGGGCUCAGGAGAUCUUAUUCGUUUCCUUCUAUGAGAUAAUAUCAGUCAUUUAACAUGACCUUUAUCAAUUAUGAAGCCUUUAUGUGCUUUAUGUGCAUAAAUGCUUAAAAAAAAAUCACAAAAUGUAACGUUAGCUGAUGAAGAUUAUCUCAUAGAACAAAACGUAUAACCUUUUCUAAGCCUGUAUUUACCAAAUAACACAUUUUCGGCAAUAAUUUUAAAAAAGAAUACAAAAACGCCAUUUAUUACCCUAUAGGCUGUCGAACGAACCAUGGCGGAGUUAGUGCCUACUGCCCUGGGAUUGGCUCCGGCAUCCUGGGUCAGCCCCAGCUCUCUCUGGGUGAAUUUAGUAGCACCCCCUGGUGGCCACGGGCAGGGGAUGGGCCCUCUACCGGUGCAGGGAGCUGGCUGGAUGUAGUGGCACCCCCUUUUGGCCGUGGGUGGGUUUGGCACCCCUCUCCGGGAGUUGGCCCCCCUUUCCCUGGGUUGGCCCCAUCCCUCUCUGGUCCUCUGUAGGGAGCUAGGUGGAUGUAGUGGGUCCCCCUGGUGGCUUUGGGCGGGGGUCGCCCCCUCUCCCUGGGUCUGCCUCAGAUUUCUGGCCCUCUCCCCCCAUAUCCCUGGUGCAGGGAGCUGGCUGGAUGUACUGGUGCCCCCUGGUGGCCGUGGGUGGAGGUAUGCACCCCUCUCUGUGGGUCGGGCCCCCCUCCCUGGAUCAGCCUCAGCCCUCUCCGGCCCUUCCCCCCAUAUCUCUGGGGAAGGGAGCUGGCUGCAUUGGCCCCCGUGCCUGGGGGUCGGUCCACCCAGUCUCUGGAGUGAGACUCUAGACAGAGUCUCUGAGUUAGAGCAUCAACAUCACCUGUAAAUGUACACUGAACAGGUGUAAUGAUCACGUGUAAUGCAUACAGAACAGGUGUAAUGAACGCGUGUAAUGCACACAGAACAGGUGUAAUGAACGUGUGUAAUGUACACAGAACAGGUGUAAUGAACGUGUGUUAUGCACACUGAACAGGUGUAAUGAACGUGUGUAAUGCACACUGAACAGGUGUAAUGCACACAGAACAGGUGUAAUGAACGUGUGUAAUGCACACAGAAAAGGUGUAAUGAAUGCGUGUAAUGCACACUGAACGGGUGUAAUGAACGUGUGUAAUGCACACUGAACAGGUGUAAUGAACAUGUGUAAUGCACACAGAACAGGUGUAAUGAACGUGUGUUAUGCACACAGAACAGGUGUAAUGAACGUGUGUAAUGCACACUGAACAGGUGUAAUGAACGUGUGUAAUGCACACUGAACGGGUGUAAUGAACGUGUGUAAUGCACACAGAACAGGUGUAAUGAACGUGUGUAAUGCACACUGAACAGGUGUAAUGAACGUGUGUAAUGCACACUGAACGGGUGUAAUGAACGUGUGUAAUGCACACAGAACAGGUGUAAUGAACGUGUGUAAUGCACACAGAAAAGGUGUAAUGAACGCGUGUAAUGCACACUGAACGGGUGUAAUGAACGUGUGUUAUGCACACAGAACAGGUGUAAUGAUCACAUGUAAAAAUGACCAUAACAAACGUUCUAAUCACCUGUAAACACACUGGACAGGUGAAAAAAUCACGUGUACAAAAAAUAACAUUUGACACUUGAAAAAAGCAAGUGAAAAAUGAUCAUAACAAGUGUUCAAAUCACCUGUAAACACACACUAGACAGGCGAAACAAUCACAUGUACAAAAAAAUGACAUUUGACACUUGAAAAAAGCAAGUGAGCUGCCACGCCCUAGCUGGCUCGAGAGGUUUCUUGCCCGGUUGGCUCGGAAGGCGACCAUCCCACGUCAAGCCUUAGCCGGAUCGUCAGGUUUUUACGCCCAGACGGCUUGUCAGGCUGCUACGCCUCAGCCGGAUCUUCAGGCUCCCAUGGUCCAGCGGGAUCCUCAGGUUGUCACGCCUCAGCCGGUUCGCCAGGCUCCCAUGCCCCUGCCAGUUUGUCAGGAUUUUACGCCCUGCCGUUUUGUCCAGCGUCCGUGCCUCGGCCGGCCUGUCAGGCUUGCCCAGGUGGGACGUCGGGUGGCGCCCCUAGAGUAGGGUGUACUGUCACGCCUGCUCCUGCUCCCUUUCCCUGGCAUUCGAAGGCGCCAGGCUCCCCAGCAUUACGCACUCCUGCCACCAUCAGUACGCACACUUUCCUUUCCCCGUCACGCGCAUCAGCAUAUUAUUGGACUCAAUCACCUGUUUAUUACCUCCCCUAUAUUUGUCAGUUCCCUAUCUCUGUUCCCCGCUGCUGCAUUGAUUGUUGUUUGUCGUUGUGUAUCCGUGUGCUGACGCUGUUUUUGGUCUUUGUCUGUUUUUGCUCUUUGUCUGUUCCUAAUUCAAUGUCAACUCCCCAUACCUGCUUCUCGACUCCAGCAUCGCUCUUGCGAGUAUACCAUAGAGAGGUGCAUGCAGCGUGCAUUCGGAGAGGGAACAAAAAUCUAAACUUCGGACCCACUUGUGUUGGAGCACACCAAAGGUCCUUUCUACAUCCACACAGUCUACGGAAGAGAAGAGUAGCUGGUCACGGGUCAGCAGAUCGUUAAACUGAUACAUCAGUCAUUCAGCCUAUUCAUUUUCAUCAGGAAACAACUCGAAGUGUAGCUACGUGUUAAAUCAAUCUGUGCAUUUUAACGAGAUUGUCACGACUUCCACCAAAGUCGGCUCCCCUCCUUGUUCGGGCGGCGUUCGGCGGUCGACGUCACCGACCUUCUAGCCAUCGCUGCUCCAUUUUUCAUUGUUCCAUUUGUUUUGUCUUGUUCCCCGCACACCUGGUUUACAUUCCCUAAUCACACUGCAUAUAUAUAUUCCUCUGGUCACCCCAUGUCUUUGUGUAGAAUUGUUUUGUUAUGUGUUUAGUGUUACGCGCCAGACUGGUUUCCCCGGGUAUCGUGUUUUGACCCGUAGUAUGUUUAUUGUCAUACAUUUGCAUUAUUGUGAGUGUUUUCGCGCUUAUUCACUUUUGCCAUUGGCUGGAGGUUUUUUAACGCAGUUGCGUCUGUCUUUUGUGCUUCUUCCAAAUAAAUUGCGCCUGAUCACAACUCUCUGCUCUCCUGCACCUGACUUCUUACCAGUAGCGUACAACCUUGACAGAGAUAAUGAAUAUACAGAUAUAUAUUGAGGUUACUAAGGAAACACAUCCAGAGCUCUCUUCAGCUCUUGCGAAGGCUAGGUUGAGUAUGAUGCAAAGUAUUAUAGGCUACCUGUGUCUGUCAUCCACAUCAGAACACUACGAGACAAACAGGUAUUUGCAGAAAUGAAAAUGCAUUGUUCCCAUGGCCACCCAAGGUCUUGGAUUGAUUGGCACUGGCUUAGGACAGGCGAUCAUGACUGAGGCCAUGACAUUGGUGCCACAUAGCCUUAAUGCUUCCUACCCUGCAUACAUGAUGUGUCACUACCCUCAGGCCUUUACCCCGCCCCCAUGAGCCCCGGAGUCCCACUACCCUCAGGCCUCUACCCUGCCCCCAUGAUUCCCGGAGUCCCACUACCCCCAGGCUUUGUGCCCCC